UGAAUGUAGCUCAAUGGUAGAGCAUUUGCCUAACAUGCAAAAAAUCCUGGGUUUGAUCUCCAGCACUGCAA
rnacentral:tRNA from 1 species